rnacentral:rRNA from 1 species
GGGGAAUAUUGGACAAUGGGCGCAAGCCUGAUCCAGCCAUGCCGCGUGAGUGAUGAAGGCCCUAGGGUUGUAAAGCUCUUUUGUGCGGGAAGAUAAUGACGGUACCGCAAGAAUAAGCCCCGGCUAACUUCGUGCCAGCAGCCGCGGUAAUACGAAGGGGGCUAGCGUUGCUCGGAAUUACUGGGCGUAAAGGGUGCGUAGGCGGGUCUUUAAGUCAGGGGUGAAAUCCUGGAGCUCAACUCCAGAACUGCCUUUGAUACUGAGGAUCUUGAGUUCGGGAGAGGUGAGUGGAACUGCGAGUGUAGAGGUGAAAUUCGUAGAUAUUCGCAAGAACACCAGUGGCGAAGGCGGCUCACUGGCCCGAUACUGACGCUGAGGCACGAAAGCGUGGGGAGCAAACAG